rnacentral:lncRNA from 1 species
GUUUCAUUUUGAACCCAAGGUGCUCAAAAAUUACCCAUUCACCGCACAUUGGACGUCAAUUAUUGUGAAUUCGAUAAUGGAAUCACACCAAUAAACUUACAUGUGUGUGACAAAUAUCAAUGGAAACCAAAACCAAUGUAGUCUCAAGCAGCAACAACAUCAACAACAACAUACCUAGUUCCUAAGCAUAGCAAAUCCACAACCAUA